AAUAUUUAAAUCACAUAAAAAGAAAAUCUAACAAUUAUAAUAAAAUAGUGGUAAGAAAAUAUCUGGCCUGUGAGGUGUGAGAGGCACGCCAAAAGACGCACUGUCCUAAUACCGUUGUUGCCUCCCCACGUGCAGGUAUUGGCGGUCAGCGACGGCUCCAAGAUACAACCCAAACGGCUCACAACGGGCCUAAUCUACAGUGCACGUCUGUAGUAGGCAGAUUACCUAGUCUAUAUCGGUUGCCCAAUAAUAUAGAAAAUUGUAAAAGAGAGAAUGGUGGUAGAGAGAAACAAUGAGAGGAAGAAGAAGGGUUUUUUAUUGUAUUUUUUGUUAGAUACAAGGAAUGGCUCUUUUAUAGGCCUUUUGUCAUCCAACCAUAACGGUUGAAUACUUAUGGCCUCAUUAAGGCCAUAAUGAAAGAUAAUGAGGAAGUUUUGAAACUUCCAAAUGGAAUUUGAAAUACUUAAAGGUUAUAACAACUCUUUUAAAAAUUUGGGGGUUACAAAUCUUUUUUUAUUUACACCUCUUUAAAACUUUUCAAAUUUAUUCAAAUUCCAACAGUCCCCCACAAGUUUCAAAACUUUAUAAAAUCAUAUACAUAUAUAUAGAGAGAAAUUUGGGCAGCUUUAUACUAUGCAAUGGGUGCAGGUGUCUUCCGGACUUGAACCUACACUUAGUGUAGACAGUUCUAACCUGAAGGAUCAUAGUGAACUAAGUCUUGAACUUGACCCUUUGGACCAGAUUUUAACAUGCCACACACAUAGUAUUGAUAUAGACUUUGUGCGGGUUAGCGCUAUUUAUGGCCAUGCGCUGAAUCUUGAUUCUCAUGAGAGUUAUUAGAGAACAGCCCAAUUCUCACGGUCGCGGCCUCACGACAACUCUC
rnacentral:lncRNA from 1 species